GGGAAAUAUAUAUGAAAUAUAUAUGAAAUAUAUAUGAAACGUACAGAAUUGGAAAUAUAUAAGAGAAUAACAAAUAUAUAAGAAAUAUAUAGAUUAAGAACUAAUAAAAUAAAUUAUAUACGAAAUCUCAUCAAACAUUGAUCAUUACCAGAAAAAUUAGAAGGAGAGGGGGAGAGAGAGAGUGAGGGAUGGAGAGAGUGUGAUGUAUUGGGAUAUGGAUGGAGAGAGUGAGGGAUGGAGAGAGUGAGGGAUGGAGAUAGUGACGUAUGAGGAGGAGUAUUGUGACAGCAGACGUCGCUCAGUGAGCCUUUAGGGGGAGGAGAAAUGAGUCAGGAAUCAAUCGUAUGCCGAUUAUGACAAAAUGUGGGGAUCCACAUGGAAAGGGAUUAAGAACACACGCACACAAACACACGCACACACACACACACACACACUCCAUUAUCAUGUUUGGCUAAAUCAAUCCUCAUGGAUAACAGAAAUAGGAGGAGUUAGAAAGAGGAAGAGGAGUACUGGUCAUAGAGGAAGAGGAGUACUGGUCAUAGAGGAAGAGGAGUGGUGAGAGAGGAAGAGGAGGAGAGGUGGGACGCUGAGACAGAAAGGAAGAGGAGGAGAGGUGGAGAGGUGGGACACUGAGACAGAGAGGAAGAGGAGGAGAGGUGGGACACUGAGACAGAGAGGAAGAGGAGGAGAGGUGAGACACUGAGACAGAGAAGAAGAGGAGGAGAGGUGGGACACUGAGACAGAGAGGAAGAGGAGGAGAGGUGGGACACUGAGACAGAGAGGAAGAGGAGGAGAGGUGAGACACUGAGACAGAGA
ensembl:lncRNA